rnacentral:rRNA from 1 species
UACGUAGGGUGCAAGCGUUGUCCGGAAUUAUUGGGCGUAAAGAGCUCGUAGGCGGUUUGUUGCGUCGGCUGUGAAAACCCGGGGCUCAACCCCGGGCCUGCAUUCGAUACGGGCAGACUAGAGUUCGGUAGGGGAGUCUGGAAUUCCUGGUGUAGCGGUGAAAUGCGCAGAUAUCAGGAGGAACACCGGUGGCGAAGGCGGGACUCUGGGCCGAUACUGACGCUGAGGAGCGAAAGCGUGGGGAGCAAACAGG